CUUUCAGGACACAUGCUGUGGGUGUCCUGAGCUGCCAUUUAAGAAGUCUGGCUACCCUAAAGCCUCCAUGCUGGAGAGACCAUGUGGAGGGACCACACAGAGAUUGAGAGUAAGAUGCUUGAGAAGUCCCAGCUUUCCCAGCCCCAGCGUUUUGGGUCUUCUUAGCCCAAGCACUAGAUGUGCAGCCCCAGCCCAUGCCUGGGAAAAACUUUCACUAUUCCUUUCCUGGCUGCAGGAAUGCUUGAGAUGCAUGCACCUAUUCAUUUUUAAAUACUUAUUGAGCACAGGGUCCGGUUCCAAGAUGGCCGAAUAGGAACAGCUCCAGUCUAUAGUUCCCAGCAUGAGCAAUGCAGAAGAUGGGUGAUUUCUGUAUUUCCAACUGAGGUCUGAAAAGAUGUUCCAAAGGAGGACAUAGAGGGGAAGACUUUUGGUGUAGUCACUGCAAAGAAGAGUUUUGUAUGACUUUCUAGUGUGAUCUUGGGCAAGUGACAAAAAUAUUUUGAACUUAAGUUUUAGUACCCGGAAAAGGAUGACAAUGUUUAUUCCACAGGAUUGGACAAUUAAAUGGGGAUUUUUGUGCCCACUGAUACUGACAUGUUCUGCACUACUCAGGUGUCCGUUAUUCAGGUGCAAAGAAGACAAGAUAUAAAAUAAGGCCCAGAAGUGCAGUCCAGGAGUAUGGAGUAGGGCAGAAAUUGAAACUGAAACUGUGGAACGAGAAACCAUGGAUAAGGGAGGACUACAGUACAUCAAAUGGACCAAUCAUGGCUUUCUGCAGGUGUGAAAACUUUAGGAAUCAUCUAAAAUUUUCCUAAAAUAUCCAAGCUUGCAUGUUCAGGUCUGUAGUAAUAUAAUGAUGCUGAUAUUUUGAUAAGCACAAUUAACAGAAUGCUGAUUUGUAUUAGAAAGUAGCUCAACAAUCGAAGCUGCCCUGCAAUCUAAAUUUCCAGACUCAAACUUCAACUACUCAUCUACAUGUACCCAUCUUAUCACCAUAAAGUAAAUAUUUUGGUAUGCCUGCUUAGAGUUCUUUUCUAAUACGUAUUUAAAAAUCUACUGUGUGUGUGUGCGCAAACAAAAUCGGAUUGAUGCCAUAGUUUUAUAGUUUGUUUUAACUUAUUAAAGUCUGUUAUACAUACAAAGAAGUUAUCUAUGUACACUUUA